UUAUUAAUUGUUUUGGGGCAUUUUAUUUUGAAAAUGUUGCAUGCUUUUAUUAAAUAUAGUAUGUACGUCGGCUGAUGUCAUACGUAGGUAAGGCGUUCAAAACGCAGCGCAAUCGGAAGUUCGUCCUCUUUGCUUCAAUGCCAUCAGAGAGGAGAGGCAUAAUUAAGAGCUGUUGCAGAUAACAGUGCCUGUCUGUUUGCUUGUUUUACUACACAGGCACUACAAUUAAAUCCUCAUCAGUUAAAAACCA